UGGGGAAUAUUGCACAAUGGGGGAAACCCUGAUGCAGCGACGCCGCGUGAGCGAAGAAGUAUUUCGGUAUGUAAAGCUCUAUCAGCAUGGAAGAUAAUGACGGUACCUGACUAAGAAGCCCCGGCUAACUACGUGCC
rnacentral:rRNA from 1 species